UCUGUGCAUCGUGACCCACACCUAGAACCUCCUAUUACUUCCCACGAUUUUCUACCGGCGGCCGCAUCCGCCUCGACCGGUCUUCCCCUGUUCGAGCUCCAACCCCUCGCCGAUCUCUUCCUUCUUUGACGCCAGUGCGGCCGGUGGUUCAUGGCAUGGUUGGACAUCACUCUCCCGGCCGACGAUCUUGGGGCGGCGGCGACCUGUGAGAGGACAACUGCUCAAACGAUGGCGACAAUGGCGGGGUUGUACUGAUGUACUCGACCCUUUGCUAUGCCUCGGCACCGCUGCCUCCCUCCCAACGGGGCAGCCGCCGUCGAUGCUUCCUUCCAUGGCGUAUGACAUCUAGGGUUCGUCGCUCGCCACCAGCGCAGGUGUCUCCUCUGUCCCGCCGUCUGGACCGUCGGUGAGCCUAUUGCUACGACUUGGGGCCAUCAGGGAUGCAGCCUACUUCCAACGGCGUUGGCGCGCGGCCGUGCUCCGGGUCUUCGUGCGCCUCUACCACCAAACGCUGGAGCUCUACCCACACCGAAAUCAGGUGUCACUCCAUCACCUACUCCAUACUCGCCCUGGAAUCCGAUCAGCUCAGGUACAUCCAUCUUUUCAAUCUUACACGUCGAGCUGGGAAUCACUGAACUGGAACAGAGUUUGAAGUUUAAUAUUGUAUGGGGACUUCAGUCCCCAGCUAAAUCGCAUUAUCUAUCUACAGAAAGGAUCAAUGUUUUUUUCUCUGUUACAGAUAAUAAUUUAUGUGUUCAUUGACUUGGUAAGACGAUCAGUUAUAAUGAUCCAGAAUAUUUUUCAUGAACGGCUCUGCAUUUUUUGAGAAAGUUACUUGAUGUGGAAUAAUUCUUUUUAGCACUAUGGGCAUUUCCUGAUGCCAUGGAGGAAAAAUCAAGCGACAUCACUUUCCAUUUGUUGUGAAUUUGUGAUUGGUUUCCCCUUGCUCUACAAUCUUGAUCUUCUGGCAUAUACUGCACCACUUAAAAUUGUAUCGGAAUAUCCCCGAAGAAAACUUCUAAUGUAUCUCUUUUUUUUUGUAUUGGAACCUUACUGUUUUGUACACCUUUUACCAUAAUUUUUUAAUAGAUCAGAAUGUAGCUCCAUAUAGUUAUAUUUAAUAGAAUUUUUACUGAUUUGUCAGCCCAAAUAGAUUAAGGGGAGUUUCUACUGUCUGAUUGAAGAUUUGGACAUGUGGUGCAUAAAUAAUAUUGAUUGUCUUAUGCCUAAUUAUAAUGAUAUGUAUCCCAGAUGCAAUUCAUGUGUCAAAAAGCUGAGGUGAGGUCUAAAUGCUUCAUAAUUUACGGUUUUCUGGCUAUGGUUGUACUAUUCAUGAUUACUAGACAAACAACCACCAUUUUUUAGUAAAUUUUAGGCGCUGUCACGAAACUACGAUAUAAUCAGGCAGUGAAGAACCUGAGAUCUGCUUCCUGCCGUUUUACCUAUAGGAUUCUGUUUGCAAUUGCAGAAGUCCGGCCUCUAUUAACCCUUUAUUUAUACAAUAAACGUGCAUGCUGUAUUGUACAUUAAAUUGAUAACUGAUAUUGCCAGUCCUAGCCAUAAUUUAUUUACUUGGUGAUGAUGCUUAUCAGAUAUAAUUUCAAAAAUUACUAUGAAUCUUGAAAUCUUUGUAUUUGUAGCAAAUACUUUACUUUACUAUUGCAGCUAUAGUAUAUAACUCCCAAGCUAUUUAUCAACUCAGUUACUCAUCACAUGAUCUAUCCUCACAGUGUAAUGGAGUUUUCUUUUUGCAGGUAGUUGAAUGAAAUUAUGUGCAUUGUGAUCAUGUGAGAUACUUGUUGCCCUCAAUAUUUCCCAUUUUCUUAUCAUAUUACAGGAAUACUGUAAGAUCUCUUAUCAUCAUUCAUAUAAGAUCUCUUAUCAUCAUGCAUAUAAGUCUUUUUAUUAGUUUGCCAGUCAAGUCAAUGAACAAUUAGGCAUGCUGAUGGAUGUGUAUAAAUCUUUAUUUUUUGUUUUGACUGGGGCACAUUGGAUCCGAUGACUUAAAUUGCAUUGCUAUGGAUAUACAUCAAUGCAUACUCUUGCUGCGGUAUAGGAAUUUCUGACCAAUCAUCUCAUUUUCAAAUGCAUAUCAUAGAGUUAUAUCCAUUUUUUGGCAGGGAUGUAUACUAAAUUUCUCAUGUGGUUUAUCACUGAUCUUUUUAUUCUUCUUUGACACAGGUGAAAAGUUAUUUCCUUGUGUUCAUUAGAUAGCAUGUUCUGAGAAUAGUUCAUAUAUGCGUGACAUCCACUCUUGUGGUGGCAAACAUUCAAGUCAAGUACUCGCUUGUGACUUCAAACCCUGAAGACCUGCAUUUACCUUUGGAUAGUGGUUUUUUCCUCUGGUUUCAGGAAGCAUGAAGAGGAAAAGCACUUACGUAUCUGCAAAGGGAAGCGAUCUAUCUGCACAAGCUACACUACUCUUAGCACAUAGAAUGUAUUGCAUGGCUAUAUGUAUGUAUCCUGCACCUAUGUUAGCAACGGCAUGGCUAUGAUAAAAGGACAUAUUUGCAAGAUUGGCCUAGGGCCACAAGAUCACAAACACCACUUUGAGCAAUCAAUGGAAAACUAGAAGCACGGUUAUUAUUUUCACAAGAAUAUUUGAAUAGUAGCGACCACCGUUCAGAUCGCCCACAUCAUCUUCUCUGACAUUGGCGGCGGAGAACAAAGGCACCAUGAGCUAGAAGAGUACAU